CACCGGCGCAGGUUCGCUUUCCGGCGGUUGCGCCGGGCCGGGGCGCCAGCGCCCGCCUUCCCGUUUCCUCCCGUUUCCUCCCGUUUCCUCCCGUUCCGCAGCGCGCCCACGGCCUGUGACCCCAGCGACCGCUCCUCAGUGACGAGAGAGCGGGGCCGGGCGCGGCUCCGGCCUGACCUGCGAAGGGACCUCGGUCCAGUCCCCUGUUGCGCCGCGCCUCCUGUCUGUCCGUGCGCGGGCCAGUCAGGGGCCAGUGUCUCGAACGGUCGAGGUCGCAGACCUAGAGGCGCCCCACAGGCCGGCCCGGGGCGCUGGGAGCGCCGGCCGCGGGCCGGGUGGGGAUGCCCCUGCACGUGAAGUGGCCGUUCCCCGCGGUGCCGCCGCUCACCUGGACCCUGGCCAGCAGCGUCGUCAUGGGCUUGGUGGGCACCUACAGCUGCUUCUGGACCAAGUACAUGAACCACCUGACCGUGCACAACAAGGAGGUGCUGUACGAGCUCAUCGAGAACCGAGGCCCGGCCACGCCCCUCAUCACUGUGUCCAAUCACCAGUCCUGCAUGGACGACCCUCAUCUCUGGGGGAUCCUGAAACUCCGCCACAUCUGGAACCUGAAGUUGAUGCGUUGGACCCCUGCAGCUGCAGACAUCUGCUUCACCAAGGAGCUACACUCCCACUUCUUCAGCUUGGGCAAGUGUGUGCCUGUGUGCCGAGGAGAUGGCGUCUACCAGAAGGGGAUGGACUUCAUUUUGGAGAAGCUCAACCAUGGGGACUGGGUGCAUAUCUUCCCAGAAGGGAAAGUGAACAUGAGUUCCGAAUUCCUGCGUUUCAAGUGGGGUAAGGGCUGCUGGUCUCUGGCCACAGCCAUCCUCCCAGCCCAGAGAUGGCCCUGUGGACCCCUGGCUCCCGCCCCCUCAGGCUGGGUUGUAUGGGGGUAGAUGGGUGUGUUGUAGCUCCAGGAAGGGGACAGGUGCUGAGACUAGGGCCUGCCUCUCGCAGGGGCUUGCCCAAGGGAGCUGAAUUGAACUGGAGGAUGUUGGGGGUGGCACUGGCCAGAGGCUGGCACAGAAGCUUGGCUCAGGGCCCAGCUUAUGCUAACAUGUCUACCUCCCUACUGGGCAGGAAUCGGGCGC
rnacentral:sRNA from 1 species